UACAGAGGCCUCGAGCGUUAGGCGGAAUCACUGGGCUUAAAGCGUGUGUAGGCGGAGUUCUAAGUACCUUGUGAAAUCCCACGGCUCAACCGUGGAACUGCUUGGUAUACUGGUUCUCUUGAGGUACCUAGGGGCGAGCGGAACAAGUGGUGGAGCGGUGAAAUGCGUAGAUAUCACUUGGAACGCCAACGGUGAAAACAGCUCGCUGGGGGGUAUCCUGACGCUGAGACACGAAAGCCAGGGGAGCAAACGGGG
rnacentral:rRNA from 1 species